UACAGAGGGUGCUAGCGUUGUUCGGAAUCAUUGGGCGUAAAGGGCGUGUAGGCGGUUUGUUAAGUCAUGUGUGAAAUCCCUCGGCUCAACCGAGGACGUGCGGAAGAAACUGCAAGGCUCGAGUCCGGAAGAGGGGGGCGGAAUUCCCAGUGUAGCGGUGAAAUGCGUAGAUAUUGGGAGGAACACCAGUGGCGAAGGCGGUCCCCUGGGCCGGAACUGACGCUGAGGCGCGAAAGCGUGGGUAGCAAACGGG
rnacentral:rRNA from 1 species